GUUGGUAGACGGUCGUCUGUCUGUCUGUUUGAGAAGCUUUACAUUGCCAAAUAAUUUUUGUACAGCUUCUUUUUCUUUUCUAACUAUCUGAAGCCGAGCUAUGAUCAGGGAACUCAUAGGUGAUAUCACUCUACCAAGAAAGACCCCGCAUUAAUGAGAACAACUUAUUUAUGCAAUGACAUAAUGCUCUCUGUACCUAGACGGACAGACACAGGACAGGUUGUUGACAUAAUGCUCUCUGUACCUAGACAGACACAGGACAGGUUGUUGACAUAAUGCUCUCUGUACCUAGACAGACACAGGACAGGUUGUUGACAUAAUGUUCUCUGUACCUGGACAGACAGACACAGG
ensembl:lncRNA